UGCUGUGGCUGUGGUGCAGGCCGGCAGCUUUGGCUCUGAUUAGACCCCUAGCCUGGGAGCUUCCAGGGUACGGCCCUAAAAGAAAAAAAAAAAAAAAAAAAGAAGUGGCAGUUUGCUGUCCCUUCUUCCCCACCAGCACUGGCGAACCCUCCGAAGCAGAGUGAGCAAAGGAGCUGGAGCAGGAGGAAAGACAGGAGUUUGCUUGCUGCCACGGCUGGUCAGACUGCAGCUUUGAAUGAGCUGGAAAACAAGGUGCCUGAUCUCGCUUCCUUCAGAAGUCCUUGCCAACCUGGAAAGAGAGGGUCUCUUGGACAAAGACAUGUGAGAAACGCUGUCCCGUGGUGAGCGGCCCCCAGAGCCAGCCCUGUUUUUCCAGUAACUUCUUUUCCCUCAUGGCCCUGGGAUUUACAGCACGACCCAGGAUGUCAGUAACAAAGAGGACAUACCAAGAGACUGAAGGGAAGCUGCUCUGAGAAGCAGGACAAGCCCCAGCUCUUUGAAUCCCAGAUUCUUUCU
rnacentral:lncRNA from 9 species